AAGAAGAAUUCUGAUCUCAAAGAGAGCACCAAAACAGGACGUGAUGGAGGAGAUGUAUAUGAGAGCUUCAGAGAAGAGAGUCAGACAUGAACUAGAGGAGAAACUGAGAGUGAGAGACAAUGAAAUCAAAGAGUUACAGCAGAAGAUCAGGACACUGGAAAUACAGAGAGAAAUCAGCAACAGCAUCUCCAUGAUCCUGGCUGGACCACAUGUGUUUCUCUUACUGAUACCAGUGGCACGAUUCACUGAAGAGGAAGUAA